UGUGCAAGCCACUGUUGCUGUGGGAGCCACUCCCAACCGUGCUUUUGCCAUGCUGGCCUCAGCUCUGGAGGCAGAACACUUGAGAACUCCUGCUUUAGAAACUAGCGCUGCCCCAGUCAGUGUACCAGCAAUUAAGAGCAGUUGGCAAUUUGUGGAGAGGCAGUCAACACUUAUCCCUUUACUUGCGUGAAGUAGAGUUUGAAUGAAAAAGACAAACUGAAGGAGGAUUUGGUAUCUGGAAGCAUAUCACCAUCUAGCGAUGGAGCCCAGAAGUGACUGUGAAUCAGAGCUCUGUGUGUGCAGUUUUAACAGGACUGACAAACCCCUCAGAGAAGUCAUUAUAUGGUGCUGGAUGAAUAGGUGUUGCCCUCUACACCAGAGCUUUGGUGAUUCUGCAGAAGCUGCUCUGGGUGUUAUAGACAACUAUUUUUCUGCAUGCCAGUGCAUGGGGGUGCUAAAGUGCAAUUCAACAUCCAGGCAGCUGCAGAAUAGUUUUGUUUCCCAGCUGAAACAGGGAAACCAUCACAGAAACUCACAGGAGACUGCAGGUGGUACAGUAUGAAGACUGGUGGCAUGCAAAGGCAGGGGGGUAUCUUGCCCCACUGUGAGUACUCCCAGUUUACUAGUGACUUGAGAAGGUCACAAAACAGAAACCUCAGCUACAACUAGGAAGAAUUCAAAGACCAAAGCCAACUUCUGGAUCUCCUCCCAUCAGUCCUUCCCUGGACUUCCCUAGAUUCAUUUCCCUAAGCUAAAGGGACCUGCUCUUGUUUUAGAAAGACCAGCAAGUGAUGGGGACAAGCUUCUGAGCCCCUUGCAGGAUGCUAGAACCUCUCCUUACAGCUGCUUUCCUGGGUAACAGAUUGCAACUGAGCCACAGCAGAGCCACAGCAGAGCCACAGCAUCCCAGUGCCGCCUCCAGGCUUUCCAGUACCUCCUCACUGAGUGCCUUCCCCACUGGUAGUCAGUGGCCAGGUUUGUCCACAUGGCACACAGGCUGUGUCCAACACUGGUGCCUCUUGUAACUCACUUCCUUGUCCCUGAGAAGCAGUUGUGAUAAAUCUCUGUAGCACAGACCCUCCAUCCUGUUUCCUUUGUUCGUUCAAUUAGUUUUAGCUUUAACUAUUUUUCUGAUCAUUAUUGUCAUCCUAAGUGUUUAGGUAAUACAAGUCAAAAGAAGAUGAGCACUUACUGACUGGUGCAUCCCCGACCCACAGCAAACUCAAAAGGCAACUUCAUGCUGGUCCCACCAUAUGUCAGCCCAAACAAGAACCACCUCCACACUUGUCCUAUGGUAUUCAGACUUCUAAAUCUGAGCUCUGCCCUCUCCCAUCUGCAGCUACCUCACUCUGUGCUGAUGGACACAUCAAUCAGAAUUUCUGGGACUUCCUAAGACCCCGUUUCCUACUUGAUGGCUCCUGACUGCCACAGGAUCCCUGCUGGGACACAGGAGGUGCACACGGGCCAGCAAACCCCUCCAGAACAAGGUAUCUUCUCUAAGUACUGCUAGAGGUGUUUGAGUCAAACAACUGCAUUGGAAGACAGGACAGUCCCUUCUGGUGAGGUACUAUCUGCAACCUGAGGUCCAAGGAUACCUUUGCUGCAAGAGCACUUGCAGCAACAACAGAUGGUCCCUCCUGUGCACAGAAACUUUACCAGGAACACAGAUGCCUCCUUGAAUGAUUUAGCUCCUCAUGGGCAGAAAUUAAAGCCUUUAGACAGCUAUAGUGUCAAACAGGGAGUUAUAAUGGGAACAUGAAAUCAUUCUGGAAAGAAGAAACAGCUCCUGGAGGAAGGGAAGAAGCAAAUUGAGAGAAGAAGGAAAAACCUUACCACAACGAAAGGCAAUCCAUUUGCAAAGAGGUAAAUACCUCACUUGGGAAGAAGAAUAACAAGAGGCUGGCCCAGGAAGCAAGACUUUCUUAAUGAACAGGAUUAUACCUCUCUGAACUAUUCCCAUGUAAAAAAAAGUAUUUUCUGAACUUCAGAUGAGGAAAACAUCAGAGACAUCCCACAGGAAAAAGUAUUUUGGUGAAAGCUGCUUCUAGCUCAAGUACUGGGACAUUUGAAGGUCUGAAAAAGCCUUGAAACAGAAGAAGCUGGAACAGAUUUCCAAGGGUUAUCUCCCAGAAAUCAUGAUGCUUUUUAAUCCUGAUUUCUACUACAGUCCUCUUGAAACAUCUCAUUCUUCAUUCCUGUCCUCAAUGAUGAUUGAUUUUGUCAUCAAAGAAGCUGGAUCACUGAGAUGAGUUUGGCUCGAGGUCUCACAGAGAUGUUGCUGUAACUCAGUGAAAGAUUUUACAACCAAACCAAACCAAAACAGCCAUCUCUAAAUUUUAAUACAAUUUCAAUAGAAAAAUAGACACAACUUCUCUCAGUAAAGUGCCUCUCACAUCCUGUAGGAUGAGAGACUGAGUUGCACUAAAUGUAUUUACAAGGCGUAUAAUUAAAAUAUUUGGUACUUACACAGAGAAGGUGUUCAAAUGACCAAAAUUUCAAAGACUAGGAAUGCAAAUCCAGUUUAAAAUACCUACUCUAAAGACAGACCUGAUUUUCUAACCCACUUAUCCAUCACUUCUUCCGAACACCUUUGGUGAGACCAAACCAUUUAAAAAAGUCAGGAUACUCUUCUAAAGCAAGCUUUCAGGUAGAUUUACGAUCACAGAUUUUGUUUUGAAAACCAUCUAGUCUUGGCUGUAUCU